ensembl:lncRNA
AUUAUCGAAUAGAUAUUAGAAAAACACCUUGUGGAUUGAUUAUAAACAACGUUUGCCAUGUUUCUGUCGAUAUUGUGGAGAUAAUUUGGAAUAUUUUUCUGCAAUUUCCUGGCGAUUUCUCAGCCAAACGUGAAGAACAAACGAAGCUAUUUCGCCUACAAAAAUCAUCUUUUGGGAAAAAAUGAACUUUGGCUAUCUACCUGGGAGUCUCGUGAGUGAAAACAUCCAAAGCUCAUCCAAGCUAAACGAUUUAAUUUGAUUGCUUUUCUGAUUUCCGUGACCAAGUUACCUGCUGCUAGCUGGACAAAAUGCUAUGCUAGGCUAUUGAUAAGCUUACACAAAUACUUGUCUAGCUAUGGCUGUAAAGCAUAUUUUGAAAAUCUGAGAUGACAGGGUGAUUAACAAAAGGCUGUGUCUCAAUAUAUUUCAUUUGUGAUUUUCAUGAAUAGUAAUAUUUUCUAGGGAUCUUUAUGUCCGUUGCAUUAUGCUAAUUAGUUUCAGGCGAUGAUUAUGCUCCUGGUCAACUGGUGACCACGGUGUCUCUAGUUAGUUGAGGGACAGCAGGUAACGAUGGUGUCUCUAGUUAGUUGAGGGACAGCAGGUAACCAUAGUGACUAGUUAGUUGAGUGACUAGUUAGUUGAGGGACAGAAGGUAACGAUUGUGUCUCUAGUUCUAGUUAGUUGAAGGACAGCAGGUAACGAUGGUGUCUCUAGUUAGUUGAGGGACAUCAGAUAACCAUGGUGUCUAGUUAGUUGAGGGACAGCAGGUAACGAUGGUGUCUCUAGUUAGUUGAGGGAGAGCAGGUAACAAUGGUGUCUCUGGUUAGUUGAGGGACAGCAGAUAACCGUGGUGACUAGUUAGAUGAGGGAGAGCAGGUAACGAUGGUGUCUCUAGUUAGUUGAGGGACAGCAGGUAACCAUGGUGUCUCUGGUUAGUUGAGGGACAGCAGGUAAUGAUGGUGUCUAGUUAGUUGAAGGACAGCAGGUAAUGAUGGAGCCUCGUUAGUUGAAGGACAGCAGGUAAUGAUGGAGCCUCGUUAGUAGAGGGACAGCAGGUAAUGAUGGUGUCUCUAGUUAGUUUAAGGACAGCAGGUAACCAUGGUGUCUCUAGUUAGGUGAGGGACAGCAGGUAACGAUGGUGUCUAGUUAGUUGAGGGACAGCAGGUAAUGAUGGAGUCUCUAGUUAGUUGAGGGACAGCAGGUAACCAUCAGCAGGUAACAAUGGUGUCUCUAGUUAGUUGAGGGACAGCAGGUAACGAUGGUGUCUAGUUAGUUGAGGAACAGUAGGUAAUGAUGGUGUCUACUUAUUUGAGGGACAGCAGGUAACCAUGGUGUCUAGUUAGUUGAGGGACAGCAGGUAACCAUGGUGUCUCUAGUUAGUUGAGGGACAGCAGGUAAUGAUAGUGACUAGUUAGUUGAGGGACAGCAGGUAACCAUGGUGACUAGUUAGUAGAGGGACAGCAGGUAACCAUGGUGUCUCUAGUUAGUUGAGGGACAGCAGGUAACCGUGGUGUCUCUAGUUAGUUGAGGAACAGCAGUUAAACAUGGUGUCUCUAGUUAGUUGAGGGACAGCAGGUAAUGAUGGUGACUAGUUAGUUGUGGGACAGGAGUAAAUGUCAGUUGGCUUUUCAUUGCUGAGCAUUCAGCGAGAGAGUGGGAGAGGGAGAGAAUUAGAGGGAGCCUACUUAAAUUAAAACAGGACACCAGAUAAAACAGGAGAAUUACACCAAUUAGUUGUUAAUAUGAUCUGUCUUCUAUGAUUCACUGGGGGACAUCAGAAAACACCUGAAACACACCUGAUACACCUGGACCAAUGGCUGGCCUUUGAUCCUGACACUAAAACAACACACCUAUGCCACAUUGAAUGCACGUCACAAACCUUGGGAAUUCCCAGUGAGAAACAGUUCAAUUACAUGGACGUGGUGAAGAGCAAGGCAAAGUCUUCAGAAUUAAGCUGGCAACCUAUUCCCUAUGUAGGGCUGUACUUUUGACCAGGCCCUACUGGGAAUAGGGUACCAUUUGGAACAGAACCCAUAUCUUCAGAGUUAAAUGAGAGCCAUACGUCACUCCACCCACAGCCCAUUCACAAGCGCUUCAUAAUCUCUGCUAUCACAACAAACUGUUGAAUAUGAAGAAUUCAACCUGUCAAUCACACCAGAGUCUAUCUUUCAUUUCAGCCAGUGAAAACGCCUGGAGCUCUCUCAGGCUAAUUUGUUGAACAUAGUAACUGUUGUCAGGGUGAAGCCGCCCAGUUGGAUGCAUCUCCUCUGCCAUGUUUACGUUGGAACUAUCUGAUUCCAGUGCCUGUGGCGGUCUGGAUGUUACUAUGGCUAGACAGACAGACAGGAUGGGCUUGUCAAUAACUGUCACUGUUAGGGGAGGAGGGAGACACGGCAGCCAAUUGCCUUUCCCUGCCUGGUAACUCAUACUAUGGUUGAGUCCAAAAUGGCAGACAAUUCCUUAUAGUCCACUACUUUUGAUCACAGCCCUAUGGGACUAGGGUGCCAUUUGAGACUCUUCCAAAACAAACACUUUGUAUUGAAGCCCUCACACUGCUCUCUGCCAGCCAAACAGAUCCACGGCAUCAUCAUCAUCAUCAUCUUCUGCCGGACGGAAACACUUCUGGGUGGUAUGGAACUUCAUCACCCUGUUCUACAACACAAUAAACUAUGCAAAUGACUGAAAGAAUCAUAGAAGACAAAGAGACUAUUACUAACUAAUUAAAAACUAGUCUGCUAUCCUGCCACCCACCCUUCCCGGUACGUCUGUCUACUGUUGUGUGUUGAUGCAGGUAGUUCAAGCAUGAGGCUGAGGCCCAAAUGGAAGCCUAUUCCUUUUACAGUGCACUACAGGGCCUGUAGGACUCUGGUCAAAGUAUAGAGAGAGUUGCCAGAGGGACCCACCUGUUCACCUCAGGCUGUGGAACAACAGUCCUAGAUGGAGGAGAUGCUUUAGACUGCUAACAGAUAUAUGAGGAAAAUAAGGCACCGUAAUGGGAUCACCUGAGAAAACAACUGGUCCAUUGUGUUAUAAUCAUAUCUACUGUUUUUCUCUGUGGUUUUUCUCUCACAGAGUCAGGCAGUGAUAUACUGCUGUGUGUGUGUGUGUGUG